UGGGAGGUCUUAUUUAACAAAAAGUCUCUUCAUCAGUUAUUUUUUCAUGAAGUAUAUUUUUACAGUAUAAAUUGGCACACAAACACCAUCGUAAGCUUUACCCAUUUGCAGAGAAAUUAGUAUAAUUUAUAUAUAUUUUUAUAUAUUUACAUAACCCCCUUUGCCAUGCGAUCUUGUAGCGAACGCACAACCCUAUACUGUGUUUGGUAUUUCUUCUACGAUAUAUAGUUAAGACAAAAUUUAUUUUCGGAGGAGUGAAACGAGGGAGUAAAUAAAUACAUUUCUUUACGGCUACAUGUUUUAUAUAUAUAAAGGUCUUUCUAAAUUUAAAUGAGAUGUGGUAUUACCCAUUGAAUUCCUUUCUGCACGGACGAUUUUGGCAGUCAGUAUAUAAGGAAGAUUUGAGGUGUGUUUGACCAAUGAGACGCUCGGUACAAGAUAGUAAGGACUAGGUUAGUUUGGUAUACUAUUCCCCACUCUCCCACCCUUUUUAUAUGUUACCUUAUCGUUUCUAUUCGACUUGUGUAUGGUAAAUAUUGAUUCAUUUAUGUAUGACUAUUGUAUAUAUUUAUGUUGAACAUGUUGAAUUAAAAGGCGAUCUUGUAGCGAACGCACAACCCUAUACUGUGUUUGGUAUUUCUUCUACGAUAUAUAGUUAAGACAAAAUUUAUUUUCGGAGGAGUGAAACGAGG
rnacentral:lncRNA from 1 species